CAGGGUAUAAAAAUAAUAAUUAAUAUAGUAUAAAUAAAUUGUAUGUGGAUUUCAAUCACAAGUGCAACAAGGGUAUGGUAGCAGAAAAACUUGACCGAGACGAUAAUGUUUGAAUCUAGCAGGGUACAAAAUUUUCCUCUCCCUCCUCCCUAAUCCUGCUGAUUCACCGAGUUUGACUGGUUCCGAACCAGGAAAAUUAAGCUAUUAGAUAUCCAAUAAUUUAUCACAAAGACUAAUAAUGAACUGCUGUAGCUAAUGAUGAAUUACUGCUGUUGCUAGUGAGAAUUUAUGAUAUUCUUUCCUGAAGCCAAAGAAGAUGAAAGAUAGCGGCGAUCAUACAAGUUCUUUUAACCAUAUCUGGAUGAAAAUUAAAAAGCAGUCAAAGAAAUACGGGGGAAAGGUUCAAUGCAUCAACAAAAGCACAGACAUUGCCAAAGUGCUGCGCUGAAGUCGCCCCAGCAAGCUUGUUUCUGCUUUAGGAGAAUUUUCCGCCGAAGUUAAGGUCCGACGCACUACCAUUUGCCACUAUACCUGUAUAGUAGUAACAUGCCCUUUGCCGCUCUAUCACACAUUGCUCUUCUUGUUCUUUCCUCUCUCCUUCCUCCAAGCUCAUUAAAACCCAGUUUCUUUUCUUAAAAUUCUCUUACACUAUCAUAUAAUUAGAUAAUCAUCUAAUAAUGCCUGUUUAAACUUAGUUUUAAGCUAAGGUAUACUGAAACGCAAAUAAAUUACAGCUUAGCUUAUAUUCAUAUACUCGACUCGUCCUUUCUCCAGAAGUUUCAGUUUAGCACCGAUAUUUUUCAAUAAGAAAAGUAUACCGAAAAGAUGAAAGGAAAAACGCGUGUAGAAAAUGGCGACAAACAAAAGUGAAAAGGUCCUAUCUUUUUGUAAAGGUUAUGGGGCUGUAUGCCGAGUUACUAUCAGCCACCCACCCUUGUG
rnacentral:lncRNA from 1 species